GUUUAGAUAGCUUAAUUAUUAAAGCUUAGCGUUGAAAACGUUGUUAUGAAUUUUUCUCUAAACA
rnacentral:tRNA from 1 species